rnacentral:rRNA from 1 species
AACGAACGCUGGCGGCAGGCUUAACACAUGCAAGUCGAACGCAUCCUUCGGGGUGAGUGGCAGACGGGUGAGUAACGCGUGGGAACGUGCCCUUCAGUUCGGGAUAACACAGGGAAACUUGGGCUAAUACAGGAUACGUGCGAGAGCAGAAAGAUUUAUCGCUGAAGGAUCGGCCCGCGUCUGAUUAGCUAGUUGGGGGGGUAAUGGCCCACCAAGGCGACGAUCAGUAGCUGGUCUGGGAGGAGGAUCAGCCACAUUGGGACUGAGACACGGCCCAAACUCCUACGGGAGGCAGCAGUGGGGAAUAUUGGACAAUGGGCGCAAGCCUGAUCCAGCCAUGCCGCGUGAGUGAUGAAGGCCUUAGGGUUGUAAAGCUCUUUCGUCCGGGACGAUAAUGACGGUACCGGAAGAAGAAGCCCCGGCUAACUUCGUGCCAGCAGCCGCCGUAA